GACGUAGGGUGCGAGCGUUGUCCGGAAUUAUUGGGCGUAAAGAGCUCGUAGGCGGUUUGUCGCGUCUGCCGUGAAAGUCCGGGGCUCAACUCCGGAUCUGCGGUGGGUACGGGCAGACUAGAGUGAUGUAGGGGGAGACUGGAAUUCCUGGUGUAGCGGUGAAAUGCGCAGAUAUCAGGAGGAACACCGAUGGCGAAGGCAGGUCUCUGGGCAUUACCUGACGCUGAGGAGCGAAAGCGUGGGGAGCGAACAGG
rnacentral:rRNA from 1 species